rnacentral:sRNA from 1 species
UUUUCAUUCCCUAAGAAUAAAUGUGUACUGAUUAAUCUCAUGAGAGAUUGUUUUAUAAGCAUGUAUCAUUACAUUAUUUUCCUUGUAAUUAAUUUGCUAAAUGGAGGUAAACAAAGUAGUCCUAAACUAAAAUUUAUUUACCAUUUCUCCUUUAAAUACAAAGACCAAAUAUGAUCUAUUCAUGACAUUAUACCACUGUUUCUAUUAUUUCCCAUAUUAACUUUGCGUAGUUGUUUAAAACAUUCUUUUCUUCUUUGUAGAUGAAGAAAAUAUGACAGUGAAAUAAUGAUUACUAUUGAUCAUAGUUGUUUAAAAUAAUGUCUAAUGGGCUGGGUGUGGUGAUUCACACGUGUAAUCUCAGCACUUUGGAAGGCUGAGGUGGGCAGAUUAUGCGGUCAAGAGAUCAAGACCAUCCUGGCCAACAUGGUGAAACACCAUCUCUACUAAAAUAAAAAAAAAUAAUAAUAAUUAGCUGGGUUUGGUGGCAUACGCCUGUAAUCCCAGCUACUCGGGAGGCUGUGGCAGGAGAAUUGCUUGAACCCAGCAGGUGGAGGUUGCAGUGAGCCAAGAUCACGCCACUGUACUCCAGCCUGGGCAACACAGCGAGUCUCCGUCUCCAAAAAAAAGAAAAAAAAAA